rnacentral:rRNA from 1 species
CCUACGGGAGGCAGCAGUGGGGAAUAUUGCGCAAUGGGCGAAAGCCUGACGCAGCGACGCCGCGUGAGGGAUGAAGGUCUUCGGAUCGUAAACCUCUGUCAGCAGGGAAGAACGGUCACUGUGCUAAUCAGCAGUGAAUUGACGGUACCUGCGAAGGAAGCACCGGCUAACUCCGUGCCAGCAGCCGCGGUAAUACGGAGGGUGCGAGCGUUAACCGGAAUUACUGGGCGUAAAGCGCUCGUAGGCGGUACGUCAAGUCAGGGGUGAAAUCCCCGCGCUCAACGUGGGAACUGCGUUUGAAACUGGUGAACUGGAGUGCGUGAGAGGAAAGUGGAAUUCCAGGUGUAGGGGUGGAAUCCGUAGAUAUUAGGAGGAACAUCAGUGGCGAAGGCGACUAUCUGGCACGUAACUGACGCUGAGGAGCGAAAGCGUGGGGAGCAAACAGGAUUAGAUACCCCAGUAGUC